CAUGGCGGGUGCUACCAUGCAAGUCGAACGUGAUCCGCCCUUCGGGGUGGUGAAAGUGGCGCACGGGUGAGUAACGCGUGGAUAAUCUGCCCGAGGAUUUGGGAUAACAUCUCGAAAGGGGUGCUAAUACCGAAUAAGCCCACGGGGUCUACGGAUCUUGCGGGAAAAGGGGGGGACCUUCGGGCCUCCUGUCCUUGGAUGAGUCUGCGUACCAUUAGCUAGUUGGUGGGGUAAUGGCCUACCAAGGCGACGAUGGUUAGCUGGUCUGAGAGGAUGAUCAGCCACACUGGAACUGAGACACGGUCCAGACUCCUACGGGAGGCAGCAGUGGGGAAUUUUGCGCAAUGGGGGAAACCCUGACGCAGCAACGCCGCGUGGGUGAUGAAGGCCUUCGGGUCGUAAAGCUCUGUCUGGAGGGAAGAAAUGAUUGGGAGCUAAUACCUCUUGAUCUUGACGGUACCUCUGAAGGAAGCACCGGCUAACUCCGUGCCAGCAGCCGCGGUAAUACGGAGGGUGCAAGCGUUGUUCGGAAUUAUUGGGCGUAAAGCGCGUGUAGGCGGUCUUUUAAGUCUGAUGUGAAAGCCCCGGGCUCAACCUGGGAAGUGCAUUGGAAACUGGGAGGCUUGAGUACGGGAGAGGAGAGUGGAAUUCCUAGUGUAGGAGUGAAAUCCGUAGAUAUUAGGAGGAACACCGGUGGCGAAGGCGGCUCUCUGGACCGAUACUGACGCUGAGACGCGAAAGCGUGGGUAGCAAACAGGAUUAGAUACCCUGGUAGUCCACGCCGUAAACGAUGAGUACUACGUGUUGCGGGUAUUGACCC
rnacentral:rRNA from 1 species